UUUGCUAUUAGGAAGAAUUGAAAGACAGACCUACUUCUAUUUGUUCUUAAGCUUAGAAACAUAGUAUAGAAUUUGUUAAUUUUUUAAAGCCCUUCAGGAAGGGCAAUAUAGAUAGCAUUAGUAAAUUAACUGAAAAGAACCUUGAAUUAGGGCUUUUACGAACCUCAAGUUCAUGUGUGAAAACAGAAGAAAAUAAUUACUUUGGACAAGGGACAUCCUGAGCAGUCAUUCGGCCCAUCCUUCGGAUUAUGCAAGCCAGACAGAAAGAGUAUAAGAUCAAUGAGGACACCUGAUAAUGCCUUCAAGGCAAGGACAGUGCUUGACAUAAAAUAUAACUCAAGAAAAUAUUUGUGAAGGGAAUAAAUUAAUGGGAAUCUCCUAGAUGUUGUAUAGAAACACAAAGAUAAGACUUUGGGUAAAUGCUAAAGCACAUGUAGAUGUAUUCUCUUUGUAGACUUGCCAUUACAGAGAUUUAUGUCUAAUUAGAAAGGAAGGUCAGGAACAGUUCACAUUCACUUGAGACAGACAACAGCAUAUACGUAUAAUCUUGUCCUCAGGGCUACGUUAACUCUCCUACCCCAUGUCAGAGGAUGGUCUAAAGGACCUGGGCCAUAUGGAUAUUCUGCAUAAAAUCAUAUUGGUCCAAUAUAUUGAUGAUGUCAUGUUAAUUGGAAAGAAUGACCAAGAAGUGGCAAGUAUGUUGGAGAUCUUUGUAAGACACAUACAUU